rnacentral:rRNA from 1 species
CCAGCAAUGCCGCGUGAGUGAUGAAGGCCUUCGGGUUGUAAAGCUCUUUCGCACGCGACGAUGAUGACGGUAGCGUGAGAAGAAGCCCCGGCUAACUUCGUGCCAGCAGCCGCGGUAAUACGAAGGGGGCUAGCGUUGUUCGGAAUUACUGGGCGUAAAGGGCGCGUAGGCGGUACUUCAAGUCAGGCGUGAAAGCCCCGGGCUCAACCUGGGAACCGCGCUUGAGACUGGAGAACUAGAGUUCGGGAGAGGAUGGUGGAAUUCCCAGUGUAGAGGUGAAAUUCGUAGAUAUUGGGAAGAACACCGAUGGCGAAGGCAGCCAUCUGGACCGACACUGACGCUGAGGCGCGAAAGCGUGGGGAGCAAACAGGAUUAGAUACCCUGGUAGUCCACGCCGUAAACGAUGAGUGCUAGACGUUGGGGUCCUUAGGGCUUCGGUGUCGCAGCUAACGCAUUAAGCACUCCGCCUGGGGAGUACGGCCGCAAGGUUA